rnacentral:rRNA from 1 species
GACGAACGCUGGCGGCGUGCUUAACACAUGCAAGUCGAACGGUAAGGCCCUUCGGGGUACACGAGUGGCGAACGGGUGAGUAACACGUGGGUGAUCUGCCCUGCACUUCGGGAUAAGCCUGGGAAACUGGGUCUAAUACCGGAUAGGACCACUGCCUGCAUGGGUGGUGGUGGAAAGCGUUUGCGGUGUGGGAUGGGCCCGCGGCCUAUCAGCUUGGUGGUGAGGUGAUGGCCUACCAAGGCGACGACGGGUAGCCGGCCUGAGAGGGUGACCGGCCACACUGGGACUGAGAUACGGCCCAGACUCCUACGGGAGGCAGCAGUGGGGAAUAUUGCACAAUGGGCGCAGGCCUGAUGCAGCGACGCCGCGUGAGGGAUGACGGCCUUCGGGUUGUAAACCUCUUUCAGCACCGACGAAGCGCAAGUGACGGUAGGUGCAGAAGAAGGACCGGCCAACUACGUGCCAGCCGCCGCGGUAA